rnacentral:misc_RNA from 1 species
AACGCACAUUGCGCCCCUUGGUAUUCCGAGGGGCAUGCCUGUCUGAGCGUCAGUAAAUUCUCAAGCCUAUGCUUCUGUGUAGGAUUGGUUUUGGACUUCGAGGUUUGCCUCCGGUCUGAAACGCAUUGGCCGAGCCGUCUUGGUUACAGCGUGAUAAUCUUUCGUUGUUGAUCCGGACGUUGCCCGGCCUAAAGCCUUUUUCCGACUUGACCUCAGAUCAGGUAGGGAUACCCGCUGAACUUAA